rnacentral:rRNA from 1 species
CCUACGGGGGGCUGCAGUCGAGGAUCUUCGGCAAUGGGGGCAACCCUGACCGAGCGAUGCCGCGUGCGCGAUGAAGGCCUUCGGGUUGUAAAGCGCGAAAGUGGGGAGAAAAGCGAAAGUUUGAUCUAUCCACAGUAAGCUCGGGCUAAGUUCGUGCCAGCAGCCGCGGUAAGACGAACCGAGCGAACGUUGUUCGGAAUCACUGGGCUUAAAGGGCGCGUAGGCGGGCUGUCAAGUUUGGGGUGAAAUCCCGCGGCUCAACCGUGGAACUGCCUCAAAUACUGACGGUCUCGAGGGAGGUAGGGGCGAGCGGAACUGAUGGUGGAGCGGUGAAAUGCGUUGAUAUCAUCAGGAACUCCGGUGGCGAAGGCGGCUCGCUGGACCUUUUCUGACGCUGAGGCGCGAAAGCUAGGGGAGCAAACGGGAUUAGAUACCCGGGUAGUC